rnacentral:rRNA from 1 species
UACGUAGGGUGCAAGCGUUAAUCGGAAUUACUGGGCGUAAAGCGUGCGCAGGCGGUGAUGUAAGACAGAUGUGAAAUCCCCGGGCUCAACCUGGGAACUGCAUUUGUGACUGCAUCGCUGGAGUACGGCAGAGGGGGAUGGAAUUCCACGUGUAGCAGUGAAAUGCGUAGAUAUGCGGAGGAACACCGAUGGCGAAGGCAAUCCCCUGGGCCUGUACUGACGCUCAUGCACGGAAGCGUGGGGAGCAAACAGG